rnacentral:rRNA from 1 species
AACGAACGCUGGCGGCAGGCCUAACACAUGCAAGUCGAGCGGACCUUUCGGGGUUAGCGGCGGACGGGUGAGUAACGCGUGGGAACAUGCCCUUCUCUUCGGAAUAAUCCAGGGAAACUGGUGGUAAUACCGAAUAUGCCCUUCGGGGGAAAGAUUUAUCGCCUUAGGAUCGGCCCGCGUUGGAUUAGGUAGUUGGUGGGGUAAUGGCCUACCAAGGCGACGAUCCAUAGCUGGUUUGAGAGGAUGAUCAGCCACACUGGGACUGAGACACGGCCCAGACUCCUACGGGAGGCAGCAGUGGGGAAUCUUACGCAAUGGGCGAAAGCCUGACGUAGCCAUGCCGCGUGAAUGAUGAAGGUCUUAGGAUUGUAAAAUUCUUUCACCUGGGACGAUAAUGACGGUACCAGCAGAAGAAGCCCCGGCUAACUCCGUG